UAAUAUUAAUUAUAUUAUGGUCUAUUAUAACAAUAUCACUAUUUUUGACGUAUUAUUUGCUCAUGUUAAUUUUAUUGCCA